rnacentral:lncRNA from 1 species
GAUCUGGGGAGUGGCCAGCAGUGUACUUGGUCUCCACUGAGGGGUGAGCUCGGAAGAGGUGAUGGGGCAGGGUCUGCUUACCUGAGGUAGGAGAUGACGCCCAUGGCCCUGCAAGAAUGAAAACACCCCAUUUGUGAGUUACACCAGGCCUGUCCCACAGGCAAGGGGUAUGCAUGGGGGUGGGGUUGGGGGUGGGGGGGCUGGAAGAGGAGGCAGAGGCUCCUCAGCUGCCAGACAGACACACGAAGGACAGGGCGACUCCAGAUCAACAGCCCUCUAGGUGGGCCAUCCACUCACCAGAUGUCUGAGCCCUCGCUCACAGGAUUCUGCUCAAUGAUCUCUGGGGACACGAAUUCGGGUGAGCCAUACUUGCUGUACUGUGGCUCUGAAGGGGUGAUCUUUUGGGCAAAGCCAAAGUCACAGAUCUUGAUGUCUUCCCGAGCUGGGUGCACCAUCAGGAUGUUGGGGGGCUGUCAGACAGAGUUGAGAAGUUGUUCAAGGCUACACUUCAUGAAAAAGGUAACUCCUACCCUCUGGGCCUAGGAGAGCACUGAAGAGUCCUUGAGGCUAGUAAAGGGCAGUGGGGAGUCCCCAGGACCGAGAGGGGAAUCACAUCUACUCCAUGAGAGCCAAACCCUACCCGAGGUAGUAGAAACCAAGCACAGGCUGGCUCCCAGCUGUGCCCACCACGAGUUCUGGGGAUGCCGUGAAUGCAAUACCUUUAUGUCCAGGUGGAGGAUACCAUGGCUGUGCAAAUAGUGUAGGCCUUCCACCAGCUGCUGGAUAUAGACUUUGACCUGUGGAAAAUGCCAGGAUCAGUUUGGAACCAGCCCCCAAGAGGCUGGCUCAGGAACCUCCUGAAGGCUGACCCAGGUGAGGAGCCAGCCUCAGGUACCUCCUGAAGACCUGGUCCAAAUGAGGGGCCAGCCUCAGAAAACUCAUGAAGGCCUGACCCAGGUGAGGGGCAAGCAUCAGGUACCUCCUGAAGGCCUGACCCGGGUUGGGGGCCAGCUUCAGGUACCUCCUGAAGGUCUGACCCAGGUGAGGGGCCAGCCUCAGGUACCUCCUGAAGGCCUGGCCCAGGUGAGGGGCCGCCUCAGGUACCUCUUGAAGGCCUGGCCCAGGUGAGGAGCCAGCCUCAGGUACCUCCUGAAGGCCUGACCCGGGUAAGGGGCCAGCCUCAGGUACCUCCUAAAGGCCUGAUCCGGGUAAGGGGCCAGCCUCAGGUACCUCCUGAAGGCCUGACCCAGGUGAGGGGCCAGUCUCAGGUACCUCCUGAAGGCCUGGCCCAGGUGAGGGGCCAGCCUCAGGUACCUCUUGAAGGCCUGGCCCAGGUGAGGGGCCAGCCUCAGGUACCUCCUGAAAGCCUGACCCGGGUGAGGAGCCAGCCUCAGGUACCUCCUGAAGGCCUGACCCGGGUAAGGGGCCAGCCUCAGGUACCUCCUGAAGACCUAGUCCAAAUGAGGGUCCAGCCUCAGGAACCUCCUGAAGGCCUGACCCAGGUGAGGGGCCAGCCUCAGGUACCUCCUGAAGGCCUGGCCCGGGUGAGAGGCCAGCCUCAGGUACCUCUUGAAGGCCUGGCCCAGGUGAGGGGCCAGCCUCAGGUACCUCCUGAAAGCCUGACCCGGGUGAGGAGCCAGCCUCAGGUACCUCCUGAAGGCCUGACCCAGGUAAGGGGCCAGCCUCAGAUACCUCCUGAAGGCCUAGUCCAAAUGAGGGUCCAGCCUCAGGAACCUCCUGAAGGCCUGACCCAGGUGAGGGGCCAGCCUCAGGAACCUCCUGAAGGCCUGGCCCAGGUGAGGGACCAGCAUCAGGUACCUCCUGAAGACCUGACCCAGGUAAGGGGCCAGCCUCAGGUACCUCCUGAAGGCCUGGCCCUGGUGAGGAGCCAGCCUCAGGUACCUCCUGAAAGCCUGACCCGGGUGAGGGACUAGCCUCAGGUACCUCCUGAAGACCUGGCCCAGGUGAGGGGCCAGCCUCAGCCUCCUCUAUUCCAUAGGAGCUUGCUUCGAUCAUCAAGCCUUCCUCCUCUUAAUUCAGGCCCCAUAGGUCAAGUGACUGACAAAGUCACAGGUCAGGAACUGCAAGCCCCAGGGCUGGGUGUUUCCCAAAGGUGGGCUGAGCCUAAAUAGGCAGGAAGCAUCAGUCUGCUUAAAUGAGGGAGGGGCAGAUAUCACUAGUACAGCUGUUCCCCUAUGGUCAGGACGGGUGGCAGAGGCUGGUUAUACCUGGCUACCUUGGAAGCUACAAGAGACUCAAGUCAAAAGAGGCUGUGUCCGGGGACUGGAAUGUAGGCUCUGACUCUAGGGACACACUCAGGCAAGGAGAAGGUAGAGAUUACCUCGGCUUCAGUCACUACACCCUUCUUGAAGAGCCGAUCCAGCAGCUCCUCAGACGAGCACCUGGGUUUCGUUAAGGAAAAGCCGCACAUGACUCCCCGGGGCCUGUGCUCCCAGAAAGGUACCCAGACCUCCUGUGAACCACAUCUAGAGGUGCUGGUAUUCUGAUGAAGGAGAGUGGAAUGAUGACCCCUGGGUCCCAGAUGGGUCACAUCCCUGAGAAAGGGACCUUCAGAAAGACCCUCUGGUGAGUGGGGCUGUGAGCAGCAGCCUAAUGGAACUUGGACACUCUUGCAUCUCUGCACAGAGCCCACUCCAUGCAGCCCUUCACCGGGAUCCUAGAACAAAGCUUUAGGAGUGAAAGGGCAGCCAGAAUGUGAAAUAAGUAAGAGCCCCAAACACGCCCCCAUGGGUGUGACGGAGGCCAAGAGCAGUUGGAAUGGGAGCCCCCUCUCCAAUACCUAAGAGGUUACCUCUGAGAGGGGUCCCAGGCCAUCCUUGCUAAGAAUCAAGAUUGUGGCGGCCCCCAUCUGUGACCC